UCGAUAUACAAGAAAAACAAACAGUAGGGCUAAAAUAAGUUAUUAAUUACUAAAGCACAAAUAUACCAAUUUCUUGUUUGCAGUUCAAAGGUCAAUGCACAGAGAUGAUGAUGACGCAUUUUAUUGUGGUAGUGUUGAAAUAACGUAGUAGUGUGAUUUUUUUUAAAAAUCAGAAGCAUUUUUCAUUAUUGAUUCUUGAUCUCUGCUAUCAUCCAACUGGCCGUUUCCAGUUGUGACUUAAAAAGUAGACGUAUCGUUGAUAUAGCUGGCUAACAUUAGCCACCACUAGCGCCCCGGAGCCCGUGUUGCUAGCUAAUAAUAAUGUUAACUAGCUUCCUUCUCGCACGAACUUCCUCCUUAAUUAGAUUUCAUUUCAAAUAAAAAGCUCAGUUUCUCUUAUGUUCUCUCAGUUCUCUCUUUUUGUUCGCUGUAAAAACUACGUUGAUUUUAAACAGUUAGCACUGCUGUGCUGUGCAACAAGCUUUGUGAUGUGUUUGUUGCAGUUUGGUGGGCGUGCCGGGGCCUGGCGGUCACACCUUACACAAUCGCACUAUCAGCAGCCAUACAAGGCAUGUGGUUGAUGUUAAUAUCCCGCGGCAAAUAAAAAGAAUACAUCAAUAACGCUGACUCAGGCAGGACACUGUAGGCUACUUGUGCACAUAAGGCAAUCGUGAAACAGAAGGCAUAAAAUAGCUCGUUUGUCUGGCUCAUAUAAGGGAAGGUUGGCGGAACAUUUUCUCCAGGUCUACCUUGGUGGCGUCGAGGAUCUCAGGAUAGCGGUGGGAAAUGUGUGGAUAUACACCUUCGGCUCCUUCCACUGAAGCACGCGCCUAAUAUUCAGCGGUGACUCGUGAGACCGGGGAAUCGGCCAAUCAGGUGACGGCGCCAUGUUCUGCACAGUAUCGUGGGUGAACAGCAUGGGAGAGCACUGACUGAAUCAGAAUUCUCUUGCUGCUUGUCAAAGCGGAUUAAACCUGAUAACAACAGACAGGUGGAUUAAUGAA